rnacentral:rRNA from 1 species
GGGUGCGAUCAUACCAGCACUAAUUCACCGGAUCCCCUCAGAACUCCGCAAUUGAACGUGCUUGGGCGAGAGUAGUACUCGGAUGGGUGACCUCCUGGGAAGUCCUCGUGUUGCACCCC